rnacentral:rRNA from 1 species
AUUGAACGCUGGCGGCAUGCCUUACACAUGCAAGUCGAACGGCAGCACGGGAGCAAUCCUGGUGGCGAGUGGCGAACGGGUGAGUAAUAUAUCGGAACGUGCCCAGUCGUGGGGAUAACGUAGCGAAAGCUACGCUAAUACCGCAUACGAUCUAUGGAUGAAAGCGGGGGAUCGCAAGACCUCGCGCGAUUGGAGCGGCCGAUAUCAGAUUAGGUAGUUGGUGAGGUAAAGGACUCACCAAGCCGACGAUCUGUAGCUGGUCUGAGAGGACGACCAGCCACACUGGGACUGAGACACGGCCCAGACUCCUACGGGAGGCAGCAGUGGGGAAUUUUUGGACAAUGGGCGCAAGCCUGAUCCAGCAAUGCCGCGUGCAGGAUGAAGGCCU